UUUUUUUUUUUUUUUCAUGAUUGAGUCAGCCUUGGUAGAUUCAGCUUGGUCCCUGGUUUCCCACAACCUCAAAUCCUGUAGAAGAAUGGAUUUGUUUUAGGCCAACUCAUGGUUCAUGCUAUCCUCAGAGUAGAGUCAAACAAAACUUCUUGUUACACAAUUUAUUUUGUGCCCUUUUGGGGUGGUCCCCAAAUCUCCUUCAGAUAUGCCAGAUCUGGUUCAACUUUCAGAAGCAAUAUCUGAGUAAUGACUCCAUCCUGCUCCACUCAGGGAUUUUGUCUCCAUGUCACACAUGUGGGAAGAGGGUAUGGGGCCACAGGAGGAAGACCUAUAGAAAUCACCAAGUGCUCAAGGGUAAAACUGCUAGGAAAAGGACAGGAUUCCAGAAAGGCAGAAAAGAAGAGAAGGGAAUGAUCACUAGCAACAUGAGAACAGAGAAUCGUCUGGGAAUCGGAGAGCAGUGAGCAGCACCUGUGGAAGGGUUGAUCCUGGCAAGGGAAGACCGGGGACCAGGUCAGAUCAGUGGAAAGAAAGCAAAGAGGGGAGCAAGAAAUGAGAUCUGGGAGAGGCAGCAGCCAGGCAGCAAAGAUGAAAAGCUCUAAUCUGACAAGGGAAGAAGGAAGGCAGGAGGGAUGCUGGGUGAAAGAAUUGCUCCUAGAACAGAAGUUACACAAGGCCUCUUCUUCUUACUCUUGUGACCAUUUCAGCCUUAAAAUUUUCAUUUCUAAUGGGGCUUAGUGAUGAGCCUUAUCAAGCCUAAUCUUCAGGAAUAUUACGUGCAAUAACAAGAAAUGGAUUGGAAAAUCUUCAUAUGGUUUCAUGUGGUUAUUUGUGAAAGCUGAACUUAACCAAUCUCUAGCUCCCAUCACAAUGAAAAACAAUGGUGGCUGCAAACCAUGUUUCUAGCAUUCUUACUCCAUACUUUCCAUACUUUCAAUUAUUCACUCAACUGUUACCAAUGGGCUGCUCUGUUACCUUCUACUGGGAUUUAGGAUUAUAAAGUGAAAUAAGAUAUUUUCUGUCAGCAAGUUGUUCACAUGGGAAAAACAUACACUUAAAAAUAACAAUGUGUUGAGAAGUACUAUGACAAAGAAACUAUAACAGGGAUAUGGAGGGACCAGAGAGGGUGUCCUCUAGCCAUUUCCCUCAUAUACCCCCAUUUACCCCCAUACACCCCCAUCCACCUGGAAAGUCUCCUUCCCAACCCUAACCCUCAACCCAUAUCCCUUGAAGUCCUGACCAUUCCUCACAUUAUAGAUCAAAUGCUAUUUUCUCAACAAGGUAGUUCCUAAUCUCAGAAGGUGGAAUUAAUCUUUCCAUUCUGUGUGCCUCUGUAACAUGUUAUUUAUAUCUCUGGUGUAAAAUUUAUUCUAAUUAGUUCUUUUUAAAAAAACUAUGUAUGAUGAAGGUAGAGAUAGAUAGAUAGAUAGAUAGAUAGAUAGAUAGAUAGAUAGAUAGAUAUGGAGGUUUCUUAAAGUGCAGUUAGGGUCUGGUGAGGUAAAAGUUCAUUUACAUCAAGUAAUCUACAGCCCCCUUUAAGAGGCUAAAGUGAAUAGACCCUGCUGCAUUCUGGCAAUUGUGAAACCUUGUUUGUACAUUUUCUUGUUUUGAAGAGGCAUAAAAGAAAUAGCCUUUAGACCUAAAAUGACCCAGUCAUUCCUUCCAGCUCUUUCUACAUUGGACAAAGAACAGGGAACAAAAUAAAACAAAACAAAACAAAACAAAACUCAAAUUAGUCACAUAAUUUUUAAUCUGGAAAGGACUCUAUAUUUCAUUUAACCCAAUAUCUUAAUUACAAAUAAAGAAACUAUAUUCUGAGAAAUUUAGAUACUUAUUCAAUAUUACACAGCAAGAAUCAACGAUAAAUUUUGCAAUCCUUAAGUUUGAGGCUCUUCCCAAUAGAACCUUCCCAAAAUGUAAACCAAGCAGUUUACCUUUAAUAAGAAAGAAAGUGUUUUUUUAAAAAAUGGGACAGCAUUAAAAUGUACAGAGAAAAAAAAAUUCAUUGAAAAGCAGUAUACAUUAUAGAGAAAUGUCUUCCCAUUAGUCCAUUUGUCCACAGAGAACAUCAUGCUUUCACAAACAUCAGUGAAAAUGUUUGUAGAGUUUAAAGCUUUAAUUUAAAAAUCUGUCCUUUAUGAUGUCUGGAUCCUUUAUCCUUCAGACAUCAAAUAAUUCUAUACAGUUAGCAAUAAGAAUUAUUUUGAGGUUCUUCUCCAAGAUAUUUUAGUAUGUUUGGUGGUAGUGGCCAUUAACAGGUGUUCUUAACAGUUGCGGAAGUAAAAUAAUACAUCAAGGCUCUGUUGAGAGGUGCACAUUCACACAUGUUCUCUCCCAUCAUGACUUAGGCAAAGGCAGCAGGUGCACUCAAAUGUGACACAGUUUACUCCAUCUCAGUCCUGCUAUUAUUGCCAGAGGGCUUGUCUUUUCCCUGCCCUUUCCCACGUCCCCCUGCCCCAUCGCCAUCCUGAUAGAUCUGACCCAGUCCUAUAGACACCCCAGAUUGGGCAUGUGGGUGUGCACACACCCACACACACCAGGUUGAAGCACUAAAAUUGAAUUUAAAACUUACUGGGUUCCAAUGCUAAACAGGCAUAUGUAUAUAUAAUAUGUAUAUAUGUACAUGUGGAUAGGUACAUAUAAUAUGUAUUUAUCUACCUAUAUAUUCAAAGUGAUAAUCCCUUAGAUAAAUACCACUCGCUUUUAAAAAUUCUUUCAUUCACUGCACAGGAUGGUCUGAAGAAACUGGCUUUUAGUUAGAGACUACAUCCACUGCUCUGCCAUUCCCAAGGACCCCUCAGGGGCACAGAGACAGUACCUCAGUUUUGCAGCUACAUAGGGGUUUAAAUACAACUUCUACCACUUCCUAUUUGUGUGAUCUUGAGAAAAUCACUUAACCUCUUUGAACAAUAAUUUCCUUAAUUCUAACUGAGGAUGUUAAUACCUUCUUCAUGAAGUUAGGAGGACUGGAGGUAUUGUAUGCCAAUGGGUGCUGCAUGGUAGUGCUCAGUACAUAAUAGCUAUUAUGAUGCAGAUGAUGAUAAGAGGGAAGAGUUAAAGAGGAAACGGGGGACGAUCAUGGCCCCCAUUUCCCAAAUGCCUUCUAUAUUUCAGGAUUUCUCAGCAAGGAUUGGUAGAACUUGACUGCUAGCCUUUAUCUGGUGAGUAUGAAGCUCGAGGUAGAGGAAAGAGAACUAGUAGGGGGAAGUCCAUGAAUGGCUAGCAUUUAAUGUUAUUUUCUUGUCUUGGGCCUACACAUACAUACACUUAAUGUCCCUUCCAGUGCUGAGGAAACGGCAUUUCACAGUAGUGAAUUCAGCAUCUUUUGAGGAAUCAAAGCCAUUUUUUUUCUUUUUGCUUAGCAGGACCGGACUGCACAAAGCAGGGUGAAAGAAUUCACGUGAUCUCCAUGGUGGCUAAUUAUACAAUUUCCAGUUUCAACAGCAGGUCCCAGCUAUUUGCUCCCCCGCUACCCCAGCAAUUCUAGUAACUGUGAGCUAUCCUAUGGAUCACAGAACAAAUGCCCAGCUCCUUUCUACAGUCAUGGGGUCAGAGUACACAGCCAACCCACUAGCAGAGCUGGUGUUGUGGUCUGAGCCAUCCAAAGUACAAGGAAGGAGGAAGCCCCAACCUACCCCGGACAUGCCCUGAAUGACACAGCCGUUUAGGGCCUGCCUAAGAUGCCAUUCUGUUUGCAAACACAUACUACCUGCCGUAUCACUCAACAAAAUAAUUCCAUCAGAAGGCCUGAAGGCAAAUGACUAAUGUUAAAAGUGGCCCAUGCAUCAUUUCAGAGCUGUAGUCAAUGGCUGAUAAAACAUACGUGAUCAUAACUAUAAAGAAAUUUCGCAGCCCUCUCCUUGCUCAAAAGCAACCAGGGCCCAUGAGGACAAUCAACCUGGAAGAUACCCAAAAGAUGAGGUGAGUAAAGAAAAGCCUGCAUCUGAAGCCAGCACUGCUCUUCCUUGUGCACAGAAAGCAAAGAUCGGGAGUUGCAUGUGGUCAUAUUUUCAGCCACCAAAAACAAACAAAAAAACCAACCAAACCUCAAAAAAGCCCAGACGGGUCUAGGGAAUGCUUGGGAGUUUGUCUGGUAGUCUAUGGUAAACUUCAAUUGUUAUGUCUCUGAGUGAAAGAAAGGAUGGGCAGUAGUCCAUCCCCUGCUUCUAGGAGUGCUUUCCAGUAUCCCCAUUGUAGGACCUGCUCAGCACACCAGGCCAAACUCACUGUCCAAAUAUCCUUCCCUAGAACCAUACAAUAACCACCUUCUGAGUGGAAGGAAAAGGACACACUUAACAAAUGAAGUCAAGGCAUAAAACCUCCAGCAGAGAGACAGUGGCUGGAGCAGAAAUGCUUUUCAAGGCUGCAGUUCUAAAUCAGUCAGGCAGACACCUGUAUACAUACAUACAUAGAGAGACAAAGCUUCAAACACCACCACCUCCUCACACCUAAUGACUGCCUGUGAUGAGAGUUUGCAUUCUCUAUUCUGGCUUUUCUAACAACAAAAAAUGUGUCUUUAUACUCAGUUCUGAUUCUGAACCUAUUCUCUAAUGCUUAUCCAUUUUUUGUUUUUCCAAUACACAAGGUCAGAUAAAUGAGAAAUAAAAUAUUUUUCAGUUUUAAUUUUGAUCCAGAUCUAAAUUAUUUGUCACUUUUAAUUCAUUACCUUUGAUUUCCCCUUCAAGUGAUUUAAGUCAAUGCACCCCUCACAUACACAUAACAACAGUAAGAAGGAUAAUAUUCUUAGAUUGGGGCUAGCAAAUAUAAGCAAAACAAACAAACAAACAAAUAAAAAACCCACAAGCAAAAACAACGAUGCUUCCGUUUUCAUGAGUCCUUUUACCAAUGAUGCAGUGUACUGAAAUCUCUUCAAAGCAGUUGCUUCAGUGUUAAGUUUUUGGUUCGAAAAUAAAAAGGGGUCACUGACAAUUAAUUUCUCAGCACAAUAGAAAAGCAACCCAACCCCUUAACAACACUAAAAUGGCAGAAUUAAACACAGUGGGAACAAGUAGGAAUAGACGAAUACCUGGGAUUGCCAGAUUGGAAAGGGGGAGGUUGUGGAGGUGAGGGGGGAGCGAGGCCAUCCAGUCGGCAUUGCAGACCUCCGAUGAUGUCUUUGUCCCGCUGGGGUUGGGAGAGCAGAUGGUCCCCAUUCUGAGUUUCCUCCUAGCCUUCCUAACUGCUAGCAUCCCUGUUGUUAACAAACUGGCCAGUCUCAGCCCAGUGCCACUCACUCAGUGAUCAUCACUUCUCCGGCUCUGUGGACGUUUCAGGGCGACGCUUGCCACGCCAGCCUUUCCAAAAUGCCUUUCUGGCUGGGAGACGGGGCAAACAGAUGGAUCCCUACCCACUAGCACCCGCAGUCCCCACUCUCCCCGGCCCAGCCUCUGCUCCACUCCCUUAAUCUGCUCAGUCCCAGCUCCGUUAAACUUCUUA
rnacentral:lncRNA from 1 species